rnacentral:tRNA from 1 species
AUGACUGUUAAUCAUUGGGUCGCUGGUUCGAGUCCAGCUCGGGGAGCCA